GCCGCUUUAGCUCAGUUGGUAGAGCACAUCAUUCGUAAUGAUGGGGUCAGGUGUUCGAGUCACCUAAGCGGCA
rfam:Mesorhizobium loti MAFF303099 DNA, complete genome.